UUACAAUGAAGAGUUUGAUCCUGGCUCAGGAUGAACGCUAGCUACAGGCUUAACACAUGCAAGUCGAGGGGCAGCAUUUUAGUUUGCUUGCAAACUAAAGAUGGCGACCGGCGCACGGGUGAGUAACACGUAUCCAACCUGCCGAUAACUCGGGGAUAGCCUUUCGAAAGAAAGAUUAAUAUCCGAUAGUAUAUUAAAACCGCAUGGUUUUACUAUUAAAGAAUUUCGGUUAUCGAUGGGGAUGCGUUCCAUUAGUUUGUUGGCGGGGUAACGGCCCACCAAGACUACGAUGGAUAGGGGUUCUGAGAGGAAGGUCCCCCACAUUGGAACUGAGACACGGUCCAAACUCCUACGGGAGGCAGCAGUGAGGAAUAUUGGUCAAUGGACGAGAGUCUGAACCAGCCAAGUAGCGUGAAGGAUGACUGCCCUAUGGGUUGUAAACUUCUUUUAUAUGGGAAUAAAGUAUUCCACGUGUGGGAUUUUGUAUGUACCAUAUGAAUAAGGAUCGGCUAACUCCGUGCCAGCAGCCGCGGUAAUACGGAGGAUCCGAGCGUUAUCCGGAUUUAUUGGGUUUAAAGGGAGCGUAGGUGGAUUGUUAAGUCAGUUGUGAAAGUUUGCGGCUCAACCGUAAAAUUGCAGUUGAAACUGGCAGUCUUGAGUACAGUAGAGGUGGGCGGAAUUCGUGGUGUAGCGGUGAAAUGCUUAGAUAUCACGAAGAACUCCGAUUGCGAAGGCAGCUCACUAGACUGCAACUGACACUGAUGCUCGAAAGUGUGGGUAUCAAACAGGAUUAGAUACCCUGGUAGUCCACACAGUAAACGAUGAAUACUCGCUGUUUGCGAUAUACAGUAAGCGGCCAAGCGAAAGCAUUAAGUAUUCCACCUGGGGAGUACGCCGGCAACGGUGAAACUCAAAGGAAUUGACGGGGGCCCGCACAAGCGGAGGAACAUGUGGUUUAAUUCGAUGAUACGCGAGGAACCUUACCCGGGCUUAAAUUGCAUUUGAAUAAUCUGGAAACAGGUUAGCCGCAAGGCAAAUGUGAAGGUGCUGCAUGGUUGUCGUCAGCUCGUGCCGUGAGGUGUCGGCUUAAGUGCCAUAACGAGCGCAACCCUUAUCUUUAGUUACUAACAGGUCAUGCUGAGGACUCUAGAGAGACUGCCGUCGUAAGAUGUGAGGAAGGUGGGGAUGACGUCAAAUCAGCACGGCCCUUACGUCCGGGGCUACACACGUGUUACAAUGGGGGGUACAGAAGGCAGCUACCUGGCGACAGGAUGCUAAUCCCAAAAACCUCUCUCAGUUCGGAUCGAAGUCUGCAACCCGACUUCGUGAAGCUGGAUUCGCUAGUAAUCGCGCAUCAGCCAUGGCGCGGUGAAUACGUUCCCGGGCCUUGUACACACCGCCCGUCAAGCCAUGAAAGCCGGGGGUACCUGAAGUACGUAACCGCAAGGAGCGUCCUAGGGUAAAACUGGUAAUUGGGGCUAAGUCGUAACAAGGUAGCCGUACCGGAAGGUGCGGCUGGAACACCUCCUUUCU
rnacentral:rRNA from 1 species